AAGCACGGACCUCCCUCAUACACAAAAAGUCCCCCCUUUACAGUAGCACACGGCGGCAGGGAUCCAUCUCUGCCCGUGGAACUCCUCUACAGUACAACCGUCGGCCUGGGUCAUGUUUGUGGCUCACAGGGAGAUCCCCUUGCCCAGAUUAGGGUGGUCGGUCAGAAUGAGGUGGGGCACGCCUCCCGGCAGUGACCGACCCGCCUCUGCCAGCGCUGCGGGCUGCUUCCCUUCCUCACUCGUCCCCGCCGUAGUGACCGCGCCCGCCUCCGCCGAGCUGUCGGCUGCCUCCCCUCCUCCUCCACCCCUGAUGUUGCUAUUGCUGGCCUCGGUCGAACUCUGUUUCGUUCGUCGCUGCGCGCUGAUGGAAGACAUGGAGAGGAUGCUGUUGCAUGUCGUGGUGGCUAUGCUGGUGGACAGAAUCAGACUGGCCAUUGGGUCCUGCCUGGAAGGAGGCUCUGCAAUGGUGGCAUUUUUUUGGCAAAUUGACAUAUUACCGCGGCAAUGGCGGCGUUUGUUUGGGAAGUUUUUCUGCUUUCCGUAGGUGAUGGAUUUGUAGACAACGAAGUCAAACAGAAUCUCUGGAGUUCAAGGUUCUGUACUGUUUUCUUUUUCUUAUUUUUCCUUUGAACAAAUCUUUCAUUUUUUUAGGGGCAUUUUUCUUAAUUUUUUUGAGGGGUAUCUUUCUUUCUUGAUUUUUGUGAGGAGUAUCUUUCUUUCUUAUAUACAAAAAUUAUCGCAUGAAGCACAUACAACCCACUGCUUCAGGCCCACUCCAGCCCAGUGCUCCCACCAGCCCACACUGUUUAUCUUCCCCAGUUGCAAUCUAUGGCCCAUGGAACAACCUGCUUCAGAAAACACAACAACCUCCCUCAUCUAUAGUCUCUGUUUUGUCUCAAAAAAUCUAGGGCGAUGCUAGGCGCCGGCGCACCGGCCGAACAAUUUCGGCCGGUCCAGCCCUGGCCGUUCGAUGCGAGCCACGCGCGGUUGGAUCUGGAGCAAAAAAAAACUCGCCCCCAGCUUCUUCUUCCUCGGCUCGAUCCCCUCGCUCGGGCUGCGCCGCGCCGCGCCUCCUAUCCCUCGCCGCCCGUCCACACCCUCGCCGCCCAUCCACACCCUCGCCGCCCGUCUCCGUCGCCGCUUCCAACCCUCGCCGCCCAUCCCCGUCGCCGCUUCCAACCCUCACUGGCCGUCCUCAUGGUCGCCGCGACACAUGAAACAACUACAUCUGCGGUUGCAGCUUGCAGCGGCGACGCUUGUAGCUUUCCCCGGUUGUAGCUCCGCCGCCACCCCUCGCCGUUGAUGCUCAUCGCUGCACGAAAUUGCGUCGACGACGGCCGCCAGCCAUCCACUGUGAUUGCGGCUCGGUGGCGACACGCGCAGGUUGAAGCAUUUCGCACAUACGAUUGAAGCUUUCUCUACAAUGGAUGCAACUUUUCUGGUUAUGCAGUGUAUGGUUGUAGCUUUCUUUUUCAAUGGUUGUAGUUUUUUUCAUCUACGGUCGAAGCUUUUCUAUCAACGGUUGCAGCUUUUUUUCUUUGUAGCAGCCUUGGUUAAUGAUUUCUCUAUCGUUUCGGGUUGAAGCUUUUUCAUCAAGGGUUGUAGCAUUUUAUGUCGACGGUUGUAGCACUCCGCCAUGGCAAUGAUUGCUUGCAGCUUUUGAUGUAUCUGGUUGAAGCUUUUUUCAUCUUGGUUUGAAGCAUUUUGGUUAACGGUUGUAGCAUGAGGGCGUGCGGCAGGUUCUGCAAUGCCUCCGCCAUGUCUGCAGCGCGAGCGCCGCCGUCCUCGCAGCUCGCCGUCACCAUGCUCGCCAUCCAUGAUGGCAGCUCUCCUGGGCACCGGUUGCAGCAGGCCACGACGCGGUUCCAGCUUCCGCCGGGGCCGGCGAGCGAGGACGGCGAACGGCGAUGGGGAUGGCCGGCGCGGAUGGCCACCGGCGAUGAGGACGGCCGGCGGGGGUGGCGAACGGCGACGGCCAACUGAGGUAGGGACUGGCGAGAUGAAAUAGAGAGAGAGGAAGCAGCGCAGCCGCGUGGGGCGUUAAUGGCGAGCGAUUUGUGGGCCGAUGAAAGGGGAUCGCACAGGUCGCGCGCGACCGGCCGAGUGGUUCGGCCGGUGCCCUGGCCCCAAACAUUUCCCAAAAAUCUAUAGCCUUUAUUAUUUCUCAAAAAAAUAAAAUAAUCUAUAGCCUCUGUUGCAGUAGGUACCCAGUAAUUGACGUUUGGUGCUCCCUCUCCUAAUAAUAUCUGAGAUGGCGCUCCACUUCCUCUCCCCACGAUCUCCACAAGUAACUGACGGAUUUCUGUUUAAAGUUUGUGCUCUGCCUCAACUUAUUUGCAAUCGUCCUCCAGCUUGAAUAGGUGUUCAAGUCGCCUUCACCAACAUCAAUAUCCAAUCUAGUAUCGCUCUGUGCAAAGAUGCUAAAAGUCCUGUCAGUAGGGGCUAUUAGCUUUUCGUUGAUGCACAUAACUCUUGCUGAUCGAAUUGUGCAAGUAUGCUGGAGGAUUUCCGCCAACGCCAAGGAUCUAGGACGAUUUGGGACAGUUCGACAUCAACAUCACCACCGCUCAUCUUCGCCACGGAUUCGUCAUCGACAACUUCACCAUCAUCCAUUCUUGCUUACAAACGCGUAACCCUCGAUGGUAACCUCAUCUUGGUAUCGUGAUACACCAUCAUUAUACACUCUUGCCAUUACAUUGAUAACCACCAUAGCCCAUGAUGAGGACAUCAAUACAAUUAUUACACCCACAGUCCCUGCUGCUAUACAUACUGGACCAAUUACUAGAGCUCGCGCACGCCAAUUAAAUUACCAGGUACUU